ACUCACCCGCGCUGCUGGCCGAUGGAGACCGACGUUGCCACAUGGCGGCCAUCUUGCGUCGGGCAGCACGCCCACUCAUAACAUGAAUGUCUAUGGUGCAUGUACUAUUGAAAUAACCAUAGCUUGCUCAAUUUUCAACCGAUUUUCAAACGGGUUGGUUUGUUAUAAACGUCAGAGAUGUAGUUAUGAUACUGCAUACUUAUAAUGGACUUUCAUAUGAAAAUAAUAUUAAGCAGAUAGGUAAAGCAAUAGCUAUACACACACACACACACACAGUAUUUAUAUUACACAUUUACCGAGAUAUUUUUUAUAUAUAAAAAAAAAUAUAUAUAUAUAUAAAUAAAUAAAUACAAUUCCAUUUAUUUUAUUAUAUUGUUAAUAUUUAUGUUAUUUUAUAAUACAUUUUAAAAUUUAAAUAUAUUUACAUUUUAUAUAUAAAAAUCUGUCUCAUGUUGCCACUCUGUAAGCUAAGAGUUGUUAAUUUAGCAAUGCCUUAGCUUGAAUGACAGGGACACAACUAAUGACAAUAGCAUAGAUAUUCACACCUUUAUCAGAAGAACCAAACCAACAUAAAAUUAUCUCACAGACAGUAGGUCCUGGCCAGUUCUGUCUCAUUUAUCACAAAUAUUUUGACAUUAAAUCUUCAUAUCGUCCCAUUCCUAACCAAUACCUUCCAUAACCUGAAACUUUCUAGAAACCCAUGAAGGUCUGUGAUUGGUUUUGUAUUUAGGUUCUGGAUUUGGAAACAAAUCCAGAACCUUUGAAAUGCGUUACCACUACACAGCACGGUGCGCUGAGUUCCUGUAGUCGAAAAAAGCCCAAGAACAACUUGGUGUGGUGUGGAGGGGAUGUAGGAAGCAGGGGCAGGUGGGGAGAGAUGGGGCUUCAAGGUUCAAGGUUAUUUUAUUUUGUCUUGGAGACAAGGACCAGCUGCACACAAUACAAUACAGUACAACACAAAACCAAUAAGACACACGGUGCACACACAGUUGGAGCUAAUGCCCUUUGAAAAGGACUGCUUUGGUGAGCUUCUGUCUCAUGUUGCCACUCUGUAAGCUCAGAGUAUUGAUUUUUGCAAUGUGGUGCAGCCUUAGCUUGAAAAACAGGGACACAACUAAUGUUACCAGCGUAUGGUGGUGACUGUCAAUGCCAUACUGUGUGUCGCCGAUGUGCUCCCCGAGCAAAAACACAUCCUCUGAACCUAUCCUCUUCCGCACAAUGUAGAGGACCUCUAGCAGUUUGAUGGGCUGUGAUCGUCUGGAAUCUGCUGAUGCCUGGCGAAUGACCCACUCUGCUGCCCUGACGACCCUCACCGUGCCUUCAGACGGAAUCACCAGGCCUCCAUUGUUUCUUAGAGUCAGCAGGUGGUAGCUCUUGUCCUUACUGGCAGAUGCAGCGUCCGUCACCAGGCUGGCACGGCAGACAUCACAGGACAGCUUCUUCACCGUCCGUCGCACAACAAAUCCUGAAAUUAGAGGCAAAAUACACUAUCGGUCGACCUCUACCUGAAAUGUACACGAGAGCGUUGUCCACAAGACCAUCGAAGCGGGUGGGAAGGUAGCUGUGGUCAUGUACAAGGGCAGGAAUGUCAGCAAACGGGGAUGGAAGAUCUUCUCUUUGUUCUGCAGAGGACAUAUCUACAGCUGACAGGUUUGUAGAUGUGUCGAUGUGGUAGGACUGGGCAGCAGAGGACAUUGCUACAGCUGGUAGGGACUCUGUGUCAUCCUGUGCAGUCACAUUGCCUUUGCUGCUUGGUUUAACAACCCCACACCGGGCCAUCAGCUUUCGGAAGAUGUACUUGAACUGGCUGGCAUUAGGGUUGUUAUUCCAGCCACCUUAAAAUAAACACAAGAUAUACGAGUAUAUUACACAUAUAUAUUCAAUAUAUCUUUAUGCUUUAAAAAAAAAAAGACAAAUUAGAACUAGCCACCCCUGAAUGAUCUUUCCACAUAAAUUAAGUUGAAUGACAUCAUCAUACAAUUCAGACUGUAUCACAGUGGUGACAAAUUCUGCAAACAGAUAGACAAACACACAGACAUUUUACUAAAUACUAAAAAUAGUUUGUGACACUUCCAGAUACUGUAUAUGUCUUCAGAACCACAUUUUUCCCAAAAAAAAACAAAAAACAUAUGGACCGACAAACUGAAAACAAUACGAGCAUUUGCUGACACUUCGUGUCACUUAGUGUUGCGGCUGGUAAAUAUGAAUUAUGAACCCUACCGGAUGCUCUGAUGGAGUUAAAGAGAAGCUCCAAGUGGUCCUGGCUGAACCUGUAGGUCAGGACAUAUCGCUGUCCUUCAAGCAGCACAGGAACCAUUGACAUCAACGUGUCGAUAUUGAUGAUGAAGCCCAGGAUAGAGAGGAACCUUCAAAAGCAAAUAUUGUAUUACUAUGAUGAUCCUGCCAAAACAGGACACAAGAAAGCAGGGAUGCAAACACAAACGGUAUAGGGUGAAAAUAGUGAAUGCUCCCAGAGCAGCACUUCUCAGGGAGCUGCCAGGGCAGACACAAAUCCACAUUUCACACAAUUCACUUCAUUGCCACAUUUGGGGGAAAAAAGGGGGCCGUAACCUAAAGCUGACUAGUUUGCAUCCCUGAUCUUAAAUGUAUAAUCAGUGUGAGGUUUAGGAUCCUUAAAAAUACUUUUAGGACACUAAACCUGCUUGAAUCAAUUCACAACAGAGCAUGCAGACCAUGCAAUACAUACCAUUUUGACACCUGCAUCUGGGGGGGGGGGGGGGGGGG